rnacentral:rRNA from 1 species
GAUGAACGCUGGCGGCGUGCCUAAUACAUGCCAGUCGAGCGAACGGACGAGAAGCUUGCUUCUCUGAUGUUAGCGGCGGACGGGUGAGUAACACGUGGAUAACCUACCUAUAAGACUGGGAUAACUUCGGGAAACCGUAGCUAAUACCGGAUAAUAUUUUGAACCGCAUGGUUCAAAAGUGAAAGACGGUCUUGCUGUCACUUAUAGAUGGAUCCGCGCUGCAUUAGCUAGUUGGUAAGGUAACGGCUUACCAAGGCAACGAUGCAUAGCCGACCUGAGAGGGUGAUCGGCCACACUGGAACUGAGACACGGUCCAGACUCCUACGGGAGGCAGCAGUAGGGAAUCUUCCGCAAUGGGCGAAAGCCUGACGGAGCAACGCCGCGUGAGUGAUGAAGGUCUUCGGAUCGUAAAACUCUGUUAUUAGGGAAGAACAUAUGUGUAAGUAACUGUGCACAUCUUGACGGUACCUAAUCAGAAAGCCACGGCCAACUACGUG